AUUGAACGCUGGCGGCAUGCUUUACACAUGCCAGUCGAACGGCAGCGCGGGCUUCGGCCUGGCGGCGAGUGGCGAACGGGUGAGUAAUACAUCGGAACGUGCCCAGUAGUGGGGAUAGCUCGGCGAAAGCCGGAUUAAUACCGCAUACGACCUGAGGGUGAAAGCGGGGGAUCUUCGGACCUCGCGCUAUUGGAGCGGCCGAUGGCAGAUUAGCUAGUUGGUGGGGUAAAGGCCUACCAAGGCGACGAUCUGUAGCUGGUCUGAGAGGACGACCAGCCACACUGGGACUGAGACACGGCCCAGACUCCUACGGGAGGCAGCAGUGGGGAAUUUUGGACAAUGGGCGAAAGCCUGAUCCAGCAAUGCCGCGUGUGUGAUGAAGGCCUUCGGGUUGUAAAGCACUUUUGGCGGGAACGAAAAGGACUGUGCCAAUACCACGGUUCGAUGACGGUACCCGCAGAAUAAGCACCGGCUAACUACGUG
rnacentral:rRNA from 1 species